AUGAGCAGCAAAGUCUCCCGGGACACCCUCUACGAGGCGGUGGGGGAAGUCCUGCAUGGGAACCAGAAACUCAACAAGAAUAAGAAAUUAGUCAAGAAGCUGGCCAAGAAGUAUGAUGCCUUUUUGGCUUCAGAAUCUCUGAUCAAGCAGAUCCCACGAAUCCUGGGCCCAAGCCUGAAUAAGGCUGGCAAGUUCCCUUCCUUGCUGACCCACAAUGAGAACAUGGUGGCCAAAGUGGAUGAAGUGAAGUCCACCAUCAAAUUCCAGAUGAAGAAGGUGCUGUGUCUGGCAGAGACUGUUGGCCGUGUGAAGAUGACAGAUGACCAGCUUGUGUACAACAUCCACUUAGCAGUCAAUUUCCUGGUGUCCUUGCUCAAAAAGAACUGGCAGAAUGUCCGGGCUUUCUACAUCAAGAGCACCAUGGGCAAGCCCCAGUGCCUGUACAAAGGCACAGCUCAAUAA